CCUGUAUAUAACACAACGUGACAAGCAUUAGACUGAUAUUGACCCGAAGCUAUUUUACACGAAGGUCGCGCAUACGCAACGUCUGUAGAACUCUAUGAUGAAGAUGAAGGUGACAGUUGUCAUGGUCCUGUGUCUGGUUGCCGCAUCACACGCCUACAUUCUGCGCUACCCUCGUGUGAUGUAUCCAACCGUCUUAUAUAGAAGAAACCUGACCCCAGUCAGACCUUCACACGUCCAGGCCACCCCCGGACUCAAUUCAUUGGAUCUCAUCGAUCAAGGUACAUAUGGUCCCGGCGGAAGUGACUUCAGCGCCGGUCUUGGUCCUGUAUCCGUUCCUAACACUGCUGGCGUCGUGUCAUGGGUGUAGCAAGACAGUGGCACCAUGCCUGUGGCACAGUGUUUUCAUUUUGAUGCGACAUGUAUGGCAGCCUGUUCAUUUGUGGAGGAAUAAAGUCAAUUGUAACUUGUUUCUGCUCAAUAUCCAAUUCAUGCGUCGCCACAGUUACACUUCCUUACACCGAACGCAUACUGUCUAUAUGUAUUUAAAAGCGACAAACAAAAUGCAAAUAUCAUAAGAAAUCUCAACUAAAAGCAGAAUAUGAAAUGACACCAAAGGCUGGAACUGGAAUAUUGCCCGACUCACUGAAGGAACAUUGUAGGAAACACGUUGACCGUAUCGUCCGGAUUGGCGGGGUUCCGUUGUACAUUUAUGCUUAUAUCGCAUCAUACCACACCAACUGUUAUGUCAACCCUGGUA